AAGUCGUAACAAGGUCUCCGUAGGUGAACCUGCGGAGGGAUCAUUACAAGUGACCCCGGUCUAACCACCGGGAUGUUCAUAAGCCCUUUGUUGUCCGAUCUCUGCUGCCUCCGGGGCGACCCGUGCCUUCGGGCGGGGCUGCCGGGUCGGGACACGUUCAAACUCUUGCAGUAACUUUGCAAGUCUGAGUAACUUAAUUAAUAAAUUAAAA
rnacentral:misc_RNA from 1 species